AAAGAUUAAGCCAUGCAUGUCUAAGUACAUGUGUAUAUUAACACGAAACCGCGUAUGGCUCAUUAUAACAGCUAAAAUUUACUUGAUUUUGACUUUUAUCCUACAUGGAUAACUGUGGUAAUUCUGGAGCUAAUACAUGCAUAAAAGAUAUAACAUUUAUAUGUUAUAUUGCGUAUAUUAGUAUUAAAACCAAGCAUUCUUCGGAAUGUUUUGUGUUGAAACUGAAUAUAUCAUGCUGAUCGUAUGGUCUUGUACCGACGACAUGUCAUUCAAGUGUCUGAUCUAUCAACUUUCUAUAUAAGUAUAUAGUACUUAUAUGGUUUUGACGGAUAACGGGGUAUUAGGGUACGACUCCGGAAAAAAUGCCUGAGAAACGGCGUUUACAUCCAAGGAAGGCAGCAGGCGCGAAAAUUACCCACUCUCAGUACGAGGAGGUAGUGACGAGAAAUGACAAGAUCUAUUCCUUCGGGGAUGGAUCAUUGGAAUGGUUUGAUUUUAAAAUCAUUAAAGAGUAUCAAUGAGAGGGCAAGUCUGGUGCCAGCAGCCGCGGUAAUUCCAGCUCUCAUACUGCAUUGAAUUGUUGUUGCGGUUAAAAAGCUCGUAGUUGGAUCUGUACAUGAUAGGUUAGUUCAUCCUUUGGAUUGUAACUAAUACUAAAUGUUUUUUAUUAGAUUUUUUUAUGUUCUUUACGGGAUAUAAAAUGUCUAAUGAGUUUACUUUGAAUAAGUCAGAGUGCUCAAAACAGGCGUAAGCUUGUAUGGUUUUGCAUGGAAUAAUAGAACAUGACUAUGGUUCAUGUUUUAUUGGUUUUACUUACCAUAGUAAUGAUUAAAAGGAACAAACGGGGGCAUCCGUAUCGCAGGGCGAGAGGUGAAAUUCGUGGACCCUUGCGAGACGAACUACAGCGAAAGCAUUUGCCAAGAAUG
rnacentral:rRNA from 1 species